rnacentral:rRNA from 1 species
AUAAUACUCCAUAGAUUAGAGACACUGGAAUGUUCUUUAGCCGAAAGUUCUGGCGCCUUAGGAUGGAUCUGCGGUCGAUUAGGUUGUUGUUGGGGUAACGGCCCAACAAGCCUGUAAUCGAUACGGGUUGUGGGAGCAAGAGCCCGGAGAUGGAAUCUGAGACACGAUUCCAGGCCCUACGGGGCGCAGCAGGCGCGAAAACUUUACAAUGCAGGAAACUGUGAUAAGGGAACUCCGAGUGCCCGUAUACGCGGGCUGUCCAGGUGUUUAAAAAUCAUCUGAAGAAAGGGCCGGGCAAGACCGGUGCCAGCCGCCGCGGUAAUACCGGCGGCUCGAGUGGUGGCCACUAUUAUUGGGCUUAAAGCGUCCGUAGCUGGACCGAUAAGUCUCUUGGGAAAUCCGCCGGCUCAACCGGCGGGCGUCUAAGGGAUACUGUUAGUCUAGGGACCGGGAGAGGUGAGAGGUACUCCGGGGGUAGGAGUGAAAUCCUGUAAUCCCCGGGGGACCACCGAUGGCGAAGGCAUCUCACCAGAACGGCUCCGACAGUGAGGGACGAAAGCUGGGGGAGCGAACCGGAUUAGAUACCCGGGUAGUCCCAGCCGUAAACUAUGCGCGUUAGGUGU